UAAGGGAUCUUGCGACAAUGGGCGAAAGCCUGACGCAGCAACGCCGCGUGCGGGAUGACGGCCUUCGGAUUGUAAACCGCUUUUCGGGGGGAAGAGGAAGGACGGUACCCCCGGAAGAAGUCUCGGCUAACUACGUGCCAGCAGCCGCGGUAAAACGUAGGAGGCGAGCGUUAUCCGGAUUUACUGGGUGUAAAGCGCGUGCAGGCGGUUCUGCAAGUGGGACGUGAAAGCGCCCGGCUCAACCGGGCGAGGACGUACCGAACUGCGGGACUAGAGGCAGGUAGAGGCGUGUGGAAUUCCGGGUGUAGUGGUGAAGUGCGUAGAGAUCCGGAGGAACACCAGUGGCGAAGGCGACACGCUGGGCCUGGCCUGACGCUCAGACGCGAAAGCAUGGGGAGCGAACGG
rnacentral:rRNA from 1 species